ensembl:lncRNA
AACAGUUGUAACAGACAAGGAACGUCACAAAGCCUACUUCAGCACGCAAGCCCGGGCCCCUACCCAGUCAGGUACCCUGAUGCGUGCACCUUCAGGACUUUACCUCAUGUUUUAGGAGACGGACUCUAGAAGGUUUCCAAGGCCUCUACUGGAAGAUGUGUAGGCACUGAGACCACGCAAAUGGCAGUGAGUUAGGCAAGCGCCCCUUUAAAGGCCCGAACAUUAACUGGGCUGCUUUUCCCCUGUGAGGAAAUGCAGAGUUUGAGGAGCAUACCUUACAUCUGUUUGUAGGCACUGAGAGUUGGGGGCGCGGGGAGAUCUGUCUGUCUGUUUGCUUGCUUUUGUUUUGUUUUGCUUUCGACACAGGGUUUCUCUAUGUCGACUUGGCCGCCCUGGAACUCAUUCUGUAGCUCAGGUUGGUCUCGAACUCAAAAAAGAGAUCCGCCUGCCGCCACCACCUAGCUGUUUGUAGACAUUUACAUAACUACUCGUUUCGAGAGAUGACUUCUUCAGUAAAGAGCUCGCGAUGCAAGCAUGAGGGCUUGAGUUGGAUCCCCAGAACAAAGAGAACCUGUGUUUGUUCUGUGUGUGGGACUCCAAAAGAGAGUGUUGGAUCCUGUGAUAGUUUGCAUAUGCUUGACCCAGGGAAUAGCACUAUUAGAAGAUGAAGAUGUAGAACUCUCAGCUCCUCCUGCACCAUGGCUGUCUGGACACUGCCAUGCUCCUGCCUUGAUAAUGAACUGAGCCUCUGAACCUGUAAGCCAGCCCCAAUUAAAUGUUGUCCUUAUAAGAGUUGCUUGGUCAUGGUAUCUGUUCACAGCAGUAAAACCCUAACUAAGACAGAUCCCCUGGACCUAAAAUUACAGGAGUGUUUGUGUCUGUGUGUAUACUUACAGAUAUAUGGGCACAAACUUCCAUACCAGUACAUGGGGUGGGAAUUAAACCUGGGUCCUCUGAAAGAGUACUCUCUCAAAACUAGCCUGCAACUCAGUGUCGACAUGUUCUGGUCCACACAACAAAGUUAUAGACCACCAUUAAGUACAAGGGCAAAUAAGAGUCCUUGUUCUAAUUCAAGCCAGCAACUGAGAGCAGGCUCCUGCCACAGAGAACUACUCUUAGCCCACAAGUUGGGAAAGGUAGGGUUUAUAAAGCCAAACCACAACUACAUCAUACCGGUAUGGGCCAAGAGGUCUUUUUCCUUUUUGUUCCUUCUGUUGUUUUUGUUUUGUUUUGUUAUCUAAUUAAUUAUUUCAGGGUCUUUCCCCCAUAAUCCUGGUUUGUAGCACAAACCAGCAGUACAACUUCUAGGGCAGGUAUCUUAGCUUUCUUUUGCUGUGAUACACACUUUGACCAAAAGCAGUUUGGGGUGGAAGCUGUAUUGGCUUACACAUCCAUUUCCUAGUUCUUCAUCCAGUAAAUUGCCAUAGGAACUUAAAGCAGAAGCCUGGAGGCAAGAACUGAAGAAAAGGCCUUGGGCCUUUGCUCCCUAUAGCUUGCUAACCUGGUUUCUUAAAACAUUCCAGAAUUACCUGCCCAGGGGUGACACCACCCACAGGGAGCUGACCCUCCCGCAUCAAUUACACAUAAAGGAAAUGAACUGUAGACUUGCCUCCAGGCCAAUAUCCGGGUGGUUUCUUGAGUUCCUCUCACAGUUGACUAGCUUGUGUCAAGUUGACCUAAAAGUAUCCAGGAGGCCUAGGGAAGGGUUGGUUACAAAGAACCCCAGGACAACUAAAGAAAUAGAGUGAGCUAGGGCUCUGAGUUUGGCAAUUGUGUUUGGACAACCUGGAGAAACCAGUUCUCUUUUAACUAUGUGGGCUCUGGGGAUUGGACUCAGGUCAUUUGGUUGCAAACACCUUUACAAGCUGAGCCUUCUCACCGGGCCCUGUUUAGAAGUCUUCAGCACCGUGCAUCUACCCUCUUCGCAAUGGAGUUUUGCAGCUGAUGGUCAACUGGUAAGUUUUCACAUUGAUUUAUAAAAUGCCUACGUGAGUGUGGGACAUCAUAGUUAAGAUUCUCUGAAUCCCUUGUACUUAAGACAAAUACCAUGGAUAAUGGAAAUGGACUAACCAAAAAAAUAUCUAGUUACACAACUAGUGUAAAUUCAUACCUAAUAGCUGCUCAUUCAAUAUUCAGUCAGCUCCUAAUCAUGGUCACCUGCUGCUCCCAGCAGUUUAGAGCACUGACUCUUCUCCCAGAGGUCCUGAGUUCAAUCCCCAACACCCACAACCAUCCUAACUACAGUUCCAG